rnacentral:tRNA from 1 species
ACCGCGGUAGGUUAAUGGUAGACCACUAGGCUGUGGCCCUGGGAGUGUGGGUUCGAUUCCCGCCCGCGGUC